rnacentral:rRNA from 1 species
GAUCCUGGCUCAGGAUGAACGCUAGCUACAGGCUUAACACAUGCAAGUCGAGGGGCAGCAUGGUCUUAGCUUGCUAAGGCCGAUGGCGACCGGCGCACGGGUGAGUAACACAUAUCCAACCUGCCGUCUACUCCUGGACAGCCUUCUGAAAGGAAGAUUAAUACAAGAUGGCAUCAUGAGUUCACAUGUUCACAUGAUUAAAGGUAUUCCGGUAGACGAUGGGGA